rnacentral:rRNA from 1 species
AGGAUGAACGCUGGCGGCGUGCCUAACACAUGCAAGUCGAACGUCCUGUCUCGCAAGAGGCAGGGAGUGGCGGACGGGUGAGUACCACGUGGGUCAUCUACCGUGAGGUGAGGAAUACCGGCGAGAAAUCGCCGACAAGACCGCAUAGGCUCGAUGCAAGUCGAGCAAAGCUCUUUCGAGAGAGGGAGCGCCACACGAGGAGCCUGCGCCCGAUUAGCUAGCUGGUGGAGUAACGGUUCACCAGGGCGACGAUCGGUAGCUGGUCUGAGAGGACGAUCAGCCACACUGGGAUUGAGAACGGCCCAGACUCCUACGGGGGCAGCAGUGAGGAAUUUCGUCAAUGGGGCAACCCUGAACGAGCAACGCCGCGUGCAGGAGAAGGUUUUCGGAUCGUAAACUGCUUUUCGUCGGGGAAGAGGAACGGACGGUACCCGAGGAAUCGAGCCCGGCUAACUACGCGCCAGCAGCCGCGGU